CCUCCCGCCCGCCGCCGCCUCCCCCCGCGUCCCAAACUGCGCACAAUAGCGGCCGGCUCCUCUAUCUAUUUUGUGUCCAGCCGGAGCGGCGCGCGAUGAUUCAUUGCCCCAAUUAGGGGCUCUCUCCAGCGCGCCAGGCUGAAGCCGUCUGAAGGGUCUCCUGGGGGACCCGCCGAAACCCAUCAGCGGCUAGAGCUGGUCUUUAAGUAAAGGUCAAGCAGGACGCGGGAGGAGCCAGGUAAGGACGCGGUGGGCGCCCUUGGAGACAGAGGAACCCCCCGCCCCAGGGCCGCGGUAAGGGCAGCCCAAACCCAGAUGCAGGCACCCUGCCGGGGUUCGCUCAGGGCGGUCCUGCCCCCUCUAAAGGGGUAACCAAGCGAGAAGCCCUUUUCAGUCCCUAACAGGCCUGGGUUGGGGACACCAUUCUGGGCCCCAUGUUCUAAUUAUGGAGAGAGCGAAGAGGAGUCGUCCCAGUCUCCCUGGACCCACUAGUGAAUGCAGCAUCCAGCAGACAGUCUGGGGCCUGCUCUGCCCCGUCCCCACCGCCGCCAGGGGUCACUGGGCCACCAGCAGAGGUAGAAAAGUCCUGUGUGUCCCAAGUCCAGUGACCCAACCUCUCUGGGCCCUGGCAGCAGGGGAUUAACUGUUUCCGUGUCUUUAUUGUACACGUGUAGAGAUCCGUUGUAUCUAACAGGCAGGCUGUUGUAAAUGCUUCUGCACUUCACUCAAUUGCUCCUCCCAGUAACUACAGGUUAAGGGUGGUGAUCAGCCUCAUUUCACAGACAGCAAAGAAGUGGCAUUGACUGCGAAGUUAUGCAUCCAAAGGGGGCCAAGCGGGGCUCAGACCCAGGCCGUCCGGCUCCAGGCCCUGCUCUUGACCACCGGGCUUCAAAAUUCUACGAGUCUCUGACUUCUGGGCAGUUUACAGCUUCCUCACACCAUUCUCAGCCCGGGGACAAAGGUGCCCGGUGGUCCCCUCCACCCACUGGGACGCUGAAAUGUAAGUAAAACUGGGCUUCCUCUUGGCAAGGAAGAGAGCCAUGCAUUAUAAAUAAACGCAAGAAGGCCUCAGCGCCGCCCGCGCCGCUCUUCGGAAUCCCUGGGGGAUAUUCCAGGGCUCAGGGUCCAAGGGUUAACAGGAAAUCGUCAUUGCCAGAGAUGGGGGACUUUGGGCCUUCACCCUGGCCCAGAGGAAUGCUGUGUCAGCAAAACUGUCCCGAAGGAAUGUUGGGGGUGGGGCAGGGGCUUCUUGGCGCCUGGCACUUUUAAUACCUGGAGAGAGGAGGGGAGCUGAUUAGGAAAAGUUGGAAGGGCAAUGCCUGUUGAAUUGCAUCCUUGCCGAGUUAGAGAGGCUGUUAGGUCCCACACAGACCAAGAGGCUGCUGGUCAGACACUGCCCGGCCUGGGACAUCGGGUCCGCUGGUGAGUUAAAUGUGGGUUCCUCAGGGCUGCUUCAAAUUCGUUUCGGGCUCAUCUUUGUGGCCGUGGCCCCGGUGUCACCCUCAGGCCUCCCUUUCUUCUCCUCUACAGCAGGUGCUGUGCCACACUUCGCCAUCCCCCAGAAUCCUGAUUUUAUUGAUUUUUUCUGUCCACUGCUCCUGUCUGCCCCUUCCCCACCCCCCAGAAUCCUAGGUGCUCCCUCCUGAGGGCAGGAUCCUGUCUUGCUCACUGGAGAUCUGGGGCCGGGCUCAGUGCCUGAGUCCCACACACCUGGGUCUCAGUCCUGUUUCUUCCCUUGCCAGCUGUGUGAGCCUUGGGCAGACUUCUUACCACAUGACCUCUCGGUUUUCUGCUCUGCACAAUGGGAGUUGUUAAAUAAAUAGGGAUUUGAGCACAGGGAUGGGGUGAGUGACCGUGUGUGUGUUGCCCAUUCUAUUUUCCAGUGGUUAAAGAGGUUCUCUGGCUACCUGUCUGCACUACCGUGUGCUAUGGAGGGCCACUGUGAUGAGGUGACACGCAGAGUCUGAGGGAAGAGGACCGUGGGGUCAGCCAGACCAAAAGAGAGACGUAGGGUUUGCUUGGCUGACCUGGAAUCCUCCAGGAGGUGUUCUGAUGACUCAGGAAAAUCCCCUGGAACACGUCUUGGGAGCCAGGAAGCAGAGUGAACACAGAUCAGAGGAGAAGGCCGGUGAUGAUGGCCACUCCUCUGGGUGGAUGACAUGGGGGCAGGGCCGCUGCCCCAGCGCAACACGCCAGAUUGACAUCACACCUCUGCCAUUUACUAGCUGUGGUGGCUUUUGGCUUGCUCCUUUACCUCUCUGAGCCUCAGUUUCCCCAUCUGUAAAGCAGAGCCAACUCGACAGUGUGCAGGGAGAGUGAGCUGAGCCAAUGCCAGUAAAGCACUUUGUGUCGGGAUGCAGAAUAGCAGGGACAGAAACACUCGCAGCCUAUGUGAACAUCAAACAUCCAGCACGCACGUUCGGUGUCAAGCACAUGCCAGGACCUCUGCUUUGCAGGUGCCGACUCAACGAAUCUUUCCCAGAAGCCCAUGGGGUAGAUUCUGUGGUACCCGUGAGUUUAGGGGUGAGGAGACUAGGGCCCAGGAGAGGGAAGUCACAAGCCCAGGGUCACACAGCAUCGUGGAGCUGGGACUGGCUCCCAGGCUGCGUGCCUCUGAACCCCCUGCUUUGCUAGCUAGUGAAAUUCACCGUGCUUUCAAUCCUAAGACGCCAGGACUGGAAAAGCCUAGAGUCUGAUCUCCCCUCUGCUCACAUGUGUCCCCAGUUUCACACCAAAGGAAACAGGCCCUCACAUGUGCCCGUCUGGAUGCAAAACAGGCCAAGUUUAUGCCAGGAGAUGAGAAGAAAUGCCAGGGUGCAUUGGCACGAACUUCACACGCCAAAGUAGACUUGAAGUCCCUGUUUCUAAUAGAAAUGGGCAAAAGGCUCAAACAGGACUAAGCCAUCCAAACAUCCCUGCCAAGAGCUGCUGACGCCACAGCCUUACCAUCCCCAGCAGAGCCAUCUCUUGGCUUCCCUCUAAGCCCUACACCCCACCCUGCAGCUGGAGAGAGGGUGCCAGGCUCCCUCCAGACCACACACUGCACAGCCCGGCUCUCCAUCCUUCAAUCAUAGGACUUGAAAAGCAUUGACAGACGCUCACAGACAGACUCUGCAUUGGGAGCAGGUAAAAAAUGCCCACCUGGAUUCUGCAGGAGACAGGAGGCCAUCAGCAGGGAGUACCUGGACACAUCUCAGAUCUGCAGCUACCUGUGGGUUCGUCUUAACCCAGAAACCGCAGGACUCUGCCCUCAUCCCACCUAGGAGAGCUCAUUUCCAGCCUCCAAACUUACCGGCACGUUGUUUUGUGUCUCUGUCUGUGCCUGCCUCUCCCACUGGGGCAGAACCUGAGCUGGCUUGCCUUGCCCUGCCCAGUUUCAUAAAGCUGUGGACAUGGUUGGGGACCAAUCAGUGCUUGAACUAGGGACGCUGCUAGACUCUAUCCAAAACCUCUCUCACUAUGCCUUCCAAUUCCAGAAUCAUUCAGCUGCCCAGCCAGCUUCUACUGCGCCAUCUUUUAUUCCUCCUGAGUGCCAUCAAUCAAGAUUAAACUCUGCCAUGUGCCCCUGGCUUUUCUCAGCCCUGCAACCCGGCUUCCCUUCUCACUGGGGCCUUUUGCCCUUUUCCUCCUCCUUCUAAACUGCGCCUGUGCCUCUGGCAUCCCUCCCAGGACCCACUUACCUUCUUAGGCUGGUCUAUCCUCCUCUUUUCAGAGGUGAUGUGUGCUGUGUUGGCCUCUGGCUCACUAGGGACCAGAAAAACAAAAUAUAUCAUCUGACUGCCCUAAUUUUUUCUUUUUUCUUUUUAAAUUCUUUUUGCUUAAGAAUGAAGCAAGCCCUUCCCUGCUAUCCUCAGGAAGAGCUUCAAACAUGGCAGACCACUGGCAAAAAUAUAUCCUCCUUCUCAGAGGGAAAGAAUGUAACUGUUAACAACAAAAAUCGCUGGGAUUUGUGGAGGCCUUGGGCUUACAAGCCAGUUCACCUCCAUGCACUCACGUGACACAGCGGCACAUGGAGGCAUCACAUCCAUUUUAGAGAGAGGGAAACUGAGGCUCCAAAAGGCAGGGGUUUCCCCAAGGGCACCAUUCCUGGAGUCAGGAGAAGCUGCCAGCUUCAGGGCUGAUGAAACUUCGUUGCAUUUUGUAUGCAUUUACUGUGCUGAUUUGUGA